AGUGAACGCUGGCGGUAGGCCUAACACAUGCAAGUCGAACGGCAGCACAGUAAGAGCUUGCUCUUACGGGUGGCGAGUGGCGGACGGGUGAGGAAUACAUCGGAAUCUACUUUUUCGUGGGGGAUAACGUAGGGAAACUUACGCUAAUACCGCAUACGACCUACGGGUGAAAGCAGGGGAUCUUCGGACCUUGCGCGAUUGAAUGAGCCGAUGUCGGAUUAGCUAGUUGGCGGGGUAAAGGCCCACCAAGGCGACGAUCCGUAGCUGGUCUGAGAGGAUGAUCAGCCACACUGGAACUGAGACACGGUCCAGACUCCUACGGGAGGCAGCAGUGGGGAAUAUUGGACAAGGGGGGAGAGCCUGAUCCAGCCAUACCGCGUGGGUGAAGAAGGCCUUCGGGUUGUAAAGCCCUUUUGUUGGGAAAGAAAAGCAGCAGGUUAAUACCCCGCUGUUCUGACGGUACCCAAAGAAUAAGCACCGGCUAACUUCGUG
rnacentral:rRNA from 1 species